CCUUUGACGUUAGCGGCGGACGGGUGAGUAACACGUGGGUAACCUACCUAUAAGACUGGGAUAACUUCGGGAAACCGGAGCUAAUACCGGAUAAUAUUUCGAACCGCAUGGUUCGAUAGUGAAAGAUGGUUUUGCUAUCACUUAUAGAUGGACCCGCGCCGUAUUAGCUAGUUGGUAAGGUAACGGCUACCAAGGCGACGAUACGUAGCCGACCUGAGAGGGUGAUCGGCCACACUGGAACUGAGACACGGUCCAGACUCCUACGGGAGGCAGCAGGC
rnacentral:rRNA from 1 species